rnacentral:lncRNA from 1 species
AAAUGAUCAAGUUUACAUUGCAAAAGCAUAAAUAACAACAUAUCACAAGCACCACUGCAUUUUUUAUGACACUAAAUAUUUAGUUUACUGGUAGGUUUGGACAUUUUCAUGUAUUAGAAUCUUCUGCGUAAGAUGGUUUGCUGUCUUAAAGAAUGUUAGAAUCAAAAUCAGGAAGAGGCACAAUGAAGGUGUCAUAAAGGGAUAAUAAGUUCCCAAGUAAAGAAUGGAUCUUACCUCUGCUCAGGCUGGAAAACUGCCCACUGGGGGCUGGUAGCAGCCUUUGCACUCUUGGGUGGGGAAGCUGGAGUGUUUUGAGAAUACCCUCCUCUUGUUCUGAGACGGUCCUCUUAGGGGUCAAUUUGGUCAGGUUGAUGUAAGGUAAGUGUCCACUCAUUAUCCUUAGGGAAGGCUGCUCCAGACACGUUAAGUAUGCUCUUUGGAUCUGUUAUCCAGAGUAUGAUCUAUUGCCUGCAGGAUUAGGACAUUUUCUUUUACACUUGCAUUUGAAAUGUGCUAUUCUGAAAAUUGUGUGUACAUGAAAGGCAUGGAUAGGGUUUUUACUCAAGCAUUUGCACACUGAGAGCAGGAGACCAGGUUAUGGUAGGUGUGACUCACAUUGUUUCUUUGCUGCACACCAGACAACAAACUGGAGAGAACGUGGACUAGGUGGUUGGUGUGCCACAUAGUUCUAUUUAGUACAAAACAGGCCAUUUUUAUCCCAAAUAGCAGCCACAAUGUACUCUGUAAGAGGAUGGAAGACAGUGGGUGUUCCCAUCUACACAGGCAGAAAAAUGAGGUGGCUCUGGACUGAAAAAGGAACUUUGGGUCUGGCGGAGGUGGAGCCUAGAUUCUGGGCAUGGAGAUAUAAUGGCAUUUGUCAGUUACUCUCUCUGUUAUAUGUCCCUUGUCCCGAGGGUGUUUAUUACACAUUCAGUUUAGUAUUAGCCAUGAUUGGGGAGUUAAAGAUUAUGGUUGUGCCCACACUUAAGGCACCUUACAAGAUGACAAGAGACGAAAGCAGGACCUUGGUACCUCGAUCUUCUUGGGUGAGGGCUCUGGCUGAGAUGACAUGUGACAAAUAGAGAGGAUUUAUGAAAGCAGUAAGCUUUUCUCAAUGACUUCUGGAGGUGCUUGAGAAGGCGAACCUGAUAAAAGGCUGGACUUCCUGCAGCCAUAUAGGGGCUCAAGCUACUGUUAUGUGAGUGUUAAAAGCCCAGGGAACUUGAGUACUUCUGGGUUAUAUAAGUAUAAAUAAUUCAAUUCCAUAGGUCUAACAAAAUCACUGACACUAUUGGAAGCAGAAGUUUAAUCCAAAUAUUAACAAUAUGGCAUUUCCAAAUCAUUAUAAAUAAUGAGCAAUGCAGAAGUGACAUUUCAUCUCCUCUACUUUCCCCCCUUUUCUCUUGCUACACCUGGAAAUCUGGGUAGGGUCAAACAGUCCUUGCUCGCGGGUCAUACAGGACACUGUGCUCUCUGGAGCUCCUCCUGACAGCCCAUCUUGCUUUAUGGCACCGGAAAUUGACUAGCUCUGAUGCUCUGCCCUGAUUUGGUUUUUAUUCUUGACUUUUGUUUUGCUCUGCAUUAUCCAUCACCCUGUGAUAGUUAAGAACUGUCAUUUCUGACUUAGGCUUUCAUAGUAUCCUCGGCCUUUUAGUAGUCUCUCUGAGCUUCCUCCUUACCUCCUCGUUUCUUUCUUCUUUCUUCCUUUUCUUCCCUGUUCUAGAAAAGGAUUUAAGGUGCUUAUAGAGAUACAGUUGAUCAAGAU